AGAGAAUAGAUACCCCGGUAGUCCACGCCGUAAACGAUGGAUGCUAGCUGUUUAUCAGUAUCGACCCUGGUAGUAGCGAGGCUAACGCGUUAAGCAUCCCGCCUGAGGAGUACGAGCGCAAGCUUAAAACUCAAAGAAUUGACGGGGACCCGCACAAGCGGUGGAGCGUGUUGUUUAAUUCGAUGGUAAGCGAAGAACCUUACCAAGGUUUGACAUCCUGGGAAAGUUGGUGAAAGCCGACCGUGCCUUCGGGAACCCAGUGACAGGUGAUGCAUGGCCGUCGUCAGCUCGUGUCGUGAGAUGUUUGGUUAAGUCCAUCAACGAGCGCAACCCUUAUAGUCUGUUGUAUUUCUCAGGCUAGACUGCCCCGGUAACGGGGAGGAAGGAGGGGAUGAUGUCAGGUCCGUAUUUCCCUUACACCUUGGGCUACAAACACGCUACAAUGGCCGGUACAAAGGCUGCCAAGCAGCAAUGCGGAGCAAAUCCCAUCAAAGCCGGUCUCAGUUCGGAUUGUUGGCUG
rnacentral:rRNA from 1 species